rnacentral:lncRNA from 1 species
UGGCUGCACUGAGGAAAGGAACUACCAUAUAGAGGCUAUUAGAAGUAGCUAAUUCAGCAAACCAGCUCCUGUUACAAUCCUUUGUUUUUAUCUACUCUUUAGUUCCAAAACUUUUAAAUUUGGAGCUGAAAUUUCCCAGGAUAGAAAUUCUGGGGGGAAAAAAUUAAGAAAGAAUUCAGUCUGGGCAGGGAAUACACUUUUUUAAAAAAAUUGUAAGAGGGUCUACAGUGUAACAUUUUUUUUUCCUACUGCUUCUGUAAAAUGAUUUUGGAGCUAUUCAUUUGCACUUGUAUAGAACUCAGUACAUAGUGUUACUAACUUACAUUUCACUCUAAUGAAUAAUUUUGUCAAAUCCUGUUGCUGUCAUGAGCUUUGCCUCCCCUUCAGAUGUUAUACACUCUCUGAGAAGACUAGAGGUAAUAUACCGGAAGGACAAGCUCAUGGUGCAGCAAAUUUACAUCAACAGAGCUGCUGCAAGUCAUUUCCAUCAGGGACCUGCUAUCACAUCACAGCUAGAGCGUUUAGCAUCCGUGUGUCCAGGAGGGGAGCAGCCACCCAAGAGACAAGAUAAUGGAGCAGGAAGAGCUGCCUCCUCUGCCCAUUAGCAGAGUGUUCCCAAGGAGAAGGCAAGAGGCUCCCCAGAAGCAAUCAUUCCUGUUUGAAAGGCUCAGCUGUUACAUGAAAAGAUCGUAAUAAUGGUGGCGGUGGCAAAGAGCCGAACUGAAUAAGAUCGCACAGCGGUGCUUUUAUCUGAUAGGAGGAGGAAAGGCGAACACGUCUGCGGCAUGGUGUGCAAGCAAUAGGGAGAGAUGUGUCCCCUUAAGAAGAAGAAAGGAACAUUUUACCAAAAUGUUUUAGAAGGGCUGUUCUUGAUUGGGCUGCUGGUUGCCAAGGAGAAAGAAUUGAUCGUUCAGAGAAAGAUGAGAAAAGGAGCUGUCAGGAAAGAAGACAUCUGGAGCUGACUUGUGCACAGUUUCUUCUUCUUAGCCCAGUGACACUGAAUCAUUUGCUUCUCUGUUUUAAACCGAAUCAAGCUCUGGAAUCAUCUGAUUUCCAUUCAAAUAAAAAUACCCUCUUACAGUUUAUUUUCU